rfam:Smittium culicis strain GSMNP scaffold-9575, whole genome shotgun sequence.
GAAAGCCGUAUGAUGGGAAACUAUCACGUACGGUUUGGGAAAGGCUUUUUAACUAACCAUUAUGGGGGUUAAUCUGCUAUUUCAC